GCCCAGCGCCGAAUCCCCCGUCCUUCACGGGCGUCGGGACAUGUGGCGUAUAGAAGUCCGUAUCUCUCGGCGCGGGCCGGGGGGCCUGAGUCCUUCUGAUAGAGGCUCAGCCCAGGGACGGUGUGAGGCCGGUAACGGCCCCCGCCGCGCCGAGGUCGCGGUUCUUCUCGGAGUCGGGUUGCUUGGGAAUGCAGCCUAAAGCGGGUGGUAAACUCCAUCUAAGGCUAAAUACUGGCACGAGACCGAUAGCGAACAAGUACCGUAAGGGAAAGUUGAAAAGAACUUUGAAGAGAGAGUUCAACAGGGCGUGAAACCGUUAAGAGGUAAACGGGUGGGGUCCGCACAGUCCGCCCGGGGGAUUCAACCCGGCGGCGGUGUCGUCCCGGUCCGCCCGGCGAGCUCCUCCCGCGAGGGAGGCCGCCGGCGGGCUCGGGCCAACGGCCGCCGUCGGGCGCAUUUCCUCCGCGGCGGUGCGCCGCGACCGGCCUCGGUUCGGCUUGGAAGGGUCAGGGGGCGAAGGUGGCUCGCGAGCUCCGGCCCGCGAGCUUUACAGCGCCCUCCCGCCCCGACUUCGCCGCUUACCCCCGGGGCCGCGGUGAGUACCUCCGCGCCUUCCUUCCCCCGCGGGGGAGGGACGGGGCCCCUCCGUCCCCUGCGCGUGCCGUCGACCGGGCCGGACUGUCCUCAGUCCGCGUCCAACCGCGUCGCGCAGCCAGGGCGGGGACCGGCCUCCGCACAAAAGGGCGCUCGGGGUCAGCGGCGAUGCCGGCUACCCACCCGACCCGUCUUGAAACACGGACCA
rnacentral:rRNA from 1 species